rnacentral:rRNA from 1 species
UACGUAGGGUGCAGGCGUUAAUCGGAAUUACUGGGCGUAAAGCGUGCGCAGGCGGUUUUGUAAGCCAGAUGUGAAAGCCCCGGGCUUAACCUGGGAAUGGCAUUUGGGACUGCAAGGCUUGAGUGCGGCAGAGGAGACUGGAAUUCCUGGUGUAGCAGUGAAAUGCGUAGAUAUCAGGAGGAAUACCGAUGGCGAAGGCAGGUCUCUGGGCUGACACUGACGCUCAUGCACGAAAGCGUGGGGAGCAAACAGG